rnacentral:rRNA from 1 species
AGAAUCAACGCUGGCGGCGUGCCUAACACAUGCAAGUCGAACGAGAAAGGGGAGCAAUCCCUGAGUAAAGUGGCGACCGGGUGAGUAACACGUGACUAACCUACCCUCGAGUGUGGAAUAACAUCGGGAAACCGAUGCUAAUACCGCAUAACAUCGGCGCUUUUAAGAGAUGCCGAUCAAAGGAGCAAUCCGCUUGAGGAGGGGGUCGCGGCUGAUUAGCUAGUUGGCGGGGUAACGGCCCACCAAGGCGAAGAUCGGUA